UACGUAGGUGGCAAGCGUUGUCCGGAUUUACUGGGUGUAAAGGGCGUGUAGCCGGGUUGACAAGUCAGAUGUGAAAUCCUGCGGCUUAACCGCAGAACUGCAUUUGAAACUGUUGAUCUUGAGUACUGGAGAGGCAGACGGAAUUCCUAGUGUAGCGGUGAAAUGCGUAGAUAUUAGGAGGAACACCAGUGGCGAAGGCGACCUGCUAGAACAUAACUGACGCUGAUGCGCGAAAGCGUGGGGAGCAAAAAGG
rnacentral:rRNA from 1 species